UUGCAUUUUUUGUGUGUGGCCUUCUCUUGAAGGAAAGUAGUAGGUGGAGAAAGAAAAAACAACAUAAUUGAGAUCCUAGCUCAUUGAAAAUCAAAUGUAUUUGUAGUAGAAAAGACGUGCUUUUGGGGGUUUUUUUGUUUUUUUUUACAACUGUGACCCGCAUGAAAAUGGGAUCACAGUCAAAUACUGAAUGAGGACACUCAGCUGCUGCUCGGCACUGCCUGUCAACUAUGCUGAAAUGCUAUUACAGAUGUAAUUGCACUGUGUUUCUGAUAGCGGUGACAUUUACACAUAAUCAUCACUGUCCUUUAAUGCUCCUCGUAUCUCUCAGUUGUAGCAGCAUGACACUGUUAACACUAAAACUCAUGAUAUCCCAGGGCCAUCUCCUAUCCUAUGAACUAAAUGCUCAUCUAUCUUUUUUGUGUUUUUCAGCAUCACGUGGAAGGGUUCGCUGCCAUGUGAAUCUGGAAGGGUUCUGAGAAGGACAAAGAUGGUGUGUAGGACUUGAGGCUAUCAUUUGCUGAAGGGGCCUUCCAUUUUUCCUCAGCCUUCUUCCUCUACAUUCUUCUUAUCCUCUGUUUUAGAACACAAGUGAUCACCAUUACUUAAUAAAUGACUCAUGAUUCACACAUGAAUUAUGUAUGUAUUCUUGUCCUAGCAUUACAGCAUACAGAUUAGUCCUAUAAAAUCGAAAGAGCUGUAAACUUUGGUAAUCAGAAUCAGAAAGGGUUUUACUGCCAAAUGUUGAGCAGGUUUACAACAUUAGGAAAUUGCUGCGGUGCUUCAGUGCAAACAUACUGUCAUAAAUUACGCUAAAAUAGACAUUAAAAUAAAAAUAAGAAUAAGAAUUAAAAGUGC
ensembl:lncRNA